rnacentral:rRNA from 1 species
UACGAAGGGGGCUAGCGUUGCUCGGAAUCACUUGGGCGUAAAGCGCACGUAGGCGGCUUCUUAAGUCAGGGGUGAAAUCCUGGAGCCCAACUCCAGAACUGCCCUUCGAUACUGGAGAGCUCGAGUCCGGGAGAGGUGAGUGGAACUGCGAGUGUAGAGGUGAAAUUCGUAGAUAUUCGCAAGAACACCAGUGGCGAAGGCGGCUCACUGGCCCGGUACUGACGCUGAGGUGCGAA